AUUGAACGCUGGCGGUAGGCCUAACACAUGCAAGUCGAACGGCAGCACAGGAGAGCUUGCUCUCUGGGUGGCGAGUGGCGGACGGGUGAGGAAUGCAUCGGAAUCUACUCUUUCGUGGGGGAUAACGUAGGGAAACUUACGCUAAUACCGCAUACGACCUACGGGUGAAAGCCGGGGACCUUCGGGCCUGGCGCGAAUGAAUGAGCCGAUGCCCGAUUAGCUAGUUGGCGGGGUAAGAGCCCACCAAGGCGACGAUCGGUAGCUGGUCUGAGAGGGUGAGCAGCCACACUGGAACGGAGACACGGUCCAGACUCCUACGGGAGGCAGCAGUGGGGAAUAUUGGACAAUGGGCGCAAGCCUGAUCCAGCCAUACCGCGUGGGUGAAGAAGGCCUUCGGGUUGUAAAGCCCUUUUGUUGGGAAAGAAAAGCAAUCGGUUAAUACCCGGUUGUUCUGACGGUACCCAAAGAAUAAGCACCGGCUAACUUCGUGCCAGCCGCCGCCGUAAUAC
rnacentral:rRNA from 1 species